AUGCAGCGCCAGUUCACUAUUUCCUGGUGGCUUUACACUUCAGAUUCUUACGGGAAAAUGGAGAAUACCUACAAAUCUAAACAAUGCAGAGGACAUUCAAACCUCAGCAGGCUUUUGUUGCUGCUGUUACUGGCAGGCCUUCAGCCAGUACUGUCUUCAGAUGGAGAGACCCCUGGACUAGAUGACGAGGAUGACAACGAGGAAGCAGUGAAAAUCAAGUGUACAAUUAUUGGUCCGGACUACGUCACUGUGGGUGUGCCAAGCAGCAUUGAGUGUUUUUCCAACUGCCUGAUGAUGAAAACUGCAUGUAGAUAUUCUAUGUCUUUGGAUGGACAGAUUGCCCAGGGUCAGGGCAAUGUGCUAUCCUUCACUGUUAACAGUUGGGUGGAGGCCUUAACAGUGACAUGUACAGCCACAGUUGAAGAUACAGAUAUAACUGCGACGACAACAAAGCAACUGAAAGUGUUAGCUGGACCUGCCAAUGUUUCCAUCACAGGCCCUGAUCUAAUGAAUCCAUCAGUGAGCCACACCUACAGUUGCCAUGCCUACUGUCGGCCAUCUUGUAUCUACGCCUGGAAGACAGAUAAAGGCCCAUGGAUAGGUGGUCAAGGGAAUGUUAUUUCAAUCACUCCUCGGGAGAUGGACAACUCCAAAAUGCUCAUCUGCAAAGCUACCAAUAGUGUGUCUGGGCUGUUUGACACUGCUACUCGAAACAUAGCUGUGGCCUCUGGUCCAUCUGAGGUUCAGAUCAAAGGCCCCGACGUAAUAGACAUUGCAAAAAAGUACAAGUUUGUGUGCACUGCUGAAUGUCUGCCUUCUUGUCGCUACGUGUCGUCUGUGGACAGCCAGACUGUGAGGGGCAACAUGAUCGAGAUAGCGGCGGAUUAUCUGCUUCAAUCUGUCACUCUCAGGGCCAGAUGGCAACCUGUCCACUCGUCCUGAAGGGACCUUAGCUGUGCUGCUGCUGGCCUUCAUCAUUUCUGAUCUUUCUUUCUCAGAUUGAAUGUGUGAUGAAGAAAGGUUGGUGAAUUGUGGAGAAUUAAUGACUCAUGUACCGGUAAUCUCACGCUGCAUACUAUCCUUUUCCAUUCGUGUUGACAGUGGGCUGAACCCUGUUUGCACUUUCUAGUAAGAGGCAUGGAAAAGCACUUGGGCAUCGACGUGUGCACAUGGGAUGUCGGAACUGAGGAGUUUUUGAAGAUAUUUGGGCGAUUCUUCCACAUUGAUACAUUUGAAAUGUUGUCUAUACAUAAAUAAAAU
rnacentral:lncRNA from 1 species